rnacentral:rRNA from 1 species
AUUGAACGCUGGCGGAAUGCUUUACACAUGCAAGUCGAACGGCAGCACGGGGCAACCUGGUGGCGAGUGGCGAACGGGUGAGUAAUACAUCGGGAACGUGCCCAAUCGUGGGGGAUAACGCAGCGAAAGCUGUGCUAAUACCGCAUACGAUCUACGGAUGAAAGCGGGGGAUCGCAAGACCUCGCGCGGACGGAGCGGCCGAUGGCAGAUUAGGUAGUUGGUGGGAUAAAAGCUUACCAAGCCGACGAUCUGUAGCUGGUCUGAGAGGACGACCAGCCACACUGGGACUGAGACACGGCCCAGACUCCUACGGGAGGCAGCAGUGGGGAAUUUUGGACAAUGGGCGCAAGCCUGAUCCAGCCAUGCCGCGUGCAGGAUGAAGGCCUUCGGGUUGUAAACUGCUUUUGUACGGAACGAAAAAGCUCUCUCUAAUACAGGGGGUGAAUGACGGUACCGUAAGAAUAAGCACCGGCUAACUACGUG